AUGCAUCUCUGACAGCCCUGGAGCAGUUAGUCUGCUGCUAAGGUUUCCACAAUAGAUGCAAGAAAAAAGUCCUCGAGCUUUCUGACUGAUUGUGGCAGCCAAGAUUGAAUGGGGGAAUACAGGA
rnacentral:snoRNA from 1 species